rnacentral:rRNA from 1 species
UACUUUGCUGACGAGCGGCGGACGGGUGAGUAAUGCUUGGGAAUAUGCCUUUUGGUGGGGGACAACAGUUGGAAACGACUGCUAAUACCGCAUAAUGUCUACGGACCAAAGUGGGGGACCUUCGGGCCUCACGCCAAAAGAUUAGCCCAAGUGGGAUUAGCUAGUUGGUAAGGUAAUGGCUUACCAAGGCAACGAUCCCUAGCUGGUUUGAGAGGAUGAUCAGCCACACUGGGACUGAGACACGGCCCAGACUCCUACGGGAGGCAGCAGUGGGGAAUAUUGCACAAUGGGCGCAAGCCUGAUGCAGCCAUGCCGCGUGUGUGAAGAAGGCCUUCGGGUUGUAAAGCACUUUCAGUAAGGAGGAAAGGGUAGUCUUUAAUAGAGGCUAUCUGUGACGUUACUUACAGAAGAAGCACCGGCUAACUCCGUGCCAGCAGCCGCGGUAAUACGGAGGGUGCGAGCGUUAAUCGGAAUUACUGGGCGUAAAGCGUACGCAGGCGGUUUGUUAAGCGAGAUGUGAAAGCCCCGGGCUCAACCUGGGAACUGCAUUUCGAACUGGCAAACUAGAGUGUGAUAGAGGGUGGUAGAAUUUCAGGUGU